rnacentral:lncRNA from 13 species
CGGCUAUGAAUAAUAUACAGUGGGGCAAAAAAGUAUUUAGUCAGCCACCAAUUGUGCAAGUUCUCCCACUUAAAAAGAUGAGAGAGGCCUGUAAUUUUCAUCAUAGGUACACUUCAACUAUGACAGACAAAAUGAGAGAAAGAAAAUCCAGAAAAUCACAUUGUAGGAUUUUUAAUGAAUUUAUUUGCAAAUUAUGGUGGAAAAUAAGUAUUUGGUCAAUAACAAAAGUUUAUCUGUCAUGUUGUCUUGUCUCUGUCCUUUCCCUUCACCCUGUCUCCCUCUGCUGGUCGUUGUUAUGUUACCUUUUCUCCCCCUCUUUUCCCCAGCUGUGCCUUGUCUCCUCCUAAUUACCCAUUCACCCCGUUCCCCACCUGUUCCCUUUUUCCCUCUGAUUAGGUCCCUAUAUCUGUCUCUGUUUCUGCUCCUGUCCUUGUCGGAUUCUUGUUUGUUUGUUUAUUUGUUUGUUUGUUUAUGUGUCUCAUGCCUGAACCAGACUAUCAUCGUGUGUGCUGCAACCUUGUCCUGUCCUGUCGGAAUCUACCUGUCCAUCUGAGCCCACGUAUGUUCGUCAUUAAAGUACUCUGUUUGUUAAUUCGCUUUUGGGUCCUCAUUCACGCACCAUAACAUUAUCUCAAUACUUUGUUAUAUACCCUCUGUUGGCAAUGACAGAGGUCAAACAUUUUCUGUAAUUCUUCACAAGGUUUUCCCACACUGUUGCUGAUAUUUUGGCCCAUUCCUCCAUGCAGAUCUCCUCUAGAGCAGUGAUGUUUUGGGGCUGUUGCUGGGCAACACGGACUUUCAACUUCCUCCAAAGAUUUUCUAUGGGGUUGAGAUCUGGAGACUGGCUAGGCCACUCCAGGACUUUGUAAUGCUUCUUACGAAGCAACUCCUUCAUUGCCCGGGCGGUGUGUUUGGGAUCAUUGUCAUGCUGAAAGACCCUGCCACGUUUCAUCUUCAAUGCCUUUGCUGAUUGAAGGAGGUUUUCACUCAAAAUCUCAUGAUACAUGGCCCCAUUCAUUCUUUCCUUUACACGGAUCAGUCGUCCUGGGCCCUUUGCAGAAAAACAGCCCCAAAGCAUGAUGUAUCCACCCCCAUGCUUCACAUGGGGGUGGAAGUGUACCUAUGUCAUAGUUGAAGUGUACCUAUGAUGAAAAUUACAGGCCUCUCUCAUCUUUUUAAGUGGGAGAACUUGCACAAUUGGUGGCUGACUAAAUACUUUUUUGCUCCACUGUAGAUGUGAACUCUCUUGGUAGAUGGUGUGGUCUACAGCUUAUCAUAUGGUACUCUACCUCAGGUGAACAAUACCUCGAGACUUCUUUAAUAUUAUACAUCGCGCACCAGCUGUUAUUGACAAAAAGACACACACCCCCACCCCUCGUCUUACCAGAUGUACAUUCUCUGUUCUGCUGGUGCAUUGAAUAUCCAUACAGCUCUACAUUAUCCGUGUCAUCGUUCAGUCAUGACUCGGUGAAACAUAAGAUAUUACAGUUCUUAAUGUCCAGUUGGUAGGAUAAUCAUAAUCGUAGGUCAUCAAUUUUAUUUUCCAAUGAUUGCAUGUUGCAAGUAGAAUUGAUGGCAGUGGGAGUUUAAUUGCUCGCCUAAGGAUUCUCAAAAGGCAACCUGAUCUGCGUCCUCUUUUCCUCCGUAUUUUCUUCACGCAAAUGACGGGUAUCUGGGCCUGUUCCCGGGAGAGCAGUAUAUCUUUCUUGUCGGACUCGUUAAAGGAAAAAGCUUAUUCCAGUUUGUGGUAAGUAAUCACAAUUCUGAUGUCCAGAAGUUAUUUUUGGUGAUAAGAGAUGGUAGCAGCAACAUUAUGUACAAAAUAAGU